AUGGCCGGAGCCCCAGGGCGCCCUCCUUCGGACGGAAACGCCAGGUACGUUCACCAGCGUGGGGUCGGCCCUCCGACCACUGACGGCAGAGCGACCAGGCGUGUCUCACCGGACCGUGUUGUUUCAGUCGCAGGGGAACCGCACAGCGCCGCGCCCCACACGGACGCUACGGACGCAGGUGGGCGGGAAGCACCUCCGCGCUCUCUCACACGUCACACACACGUUCGCAAGGCAGCGCUGGCUCUCUGCUCUGCUCCACUGCAAGCAGAGUGCUAUUCGCAGCGGUGGGGGGGGGGUCCUAACCAAACUUUUGUUUGUGCUCUCCCCAUAGUCACCGCUGAUCCGAAGGGAGUCCGCGACGGCUUCAGUCACCUAGGCACCACACCACAGACACAAUCAGCUGGUAAGUUUAAUGGGAGUUAAAUGCUCGUUCAGAGCCACUCGACAGGCGUGUCUGCUCACGGGACACAGACACAGUCCGCCAGGUGACUCAGUCCGUGAUCGUGACUGCGGGUUGGUGUUCCGGCCCCUUCGGAGGUAGAUACUCAAUAGCUCUUCUCCUUUCUCUGUUUUGUUUGCUCUUUUCAGUUCCCGCAGGGGAACAGUACAUCACUUCUGGUCAGGGUCCUGAAGGUGGGUUGUUCUCUCCCAGGAGGCUUUGCUUCGUCUUUGUGAAUUGCAAAUAUGAGUGUCAUUUAAGGUUAAAUGUUAAAAAUACCAGCUGUAAAAAAUAUCCGAAAUGUAAUACAUGAAUAGUGAAAUGCAUUGUACGUUACCCAUAAAAUACAUAAGUAUUUACCCCAGAUUUCCCGGUAGGUAUCACAGAUUUCGAGUGGACACACAGUAAAUGUGCUUUUCGUCUUGAGCCAGUUAAUUUUGCUCCCAUGUAAAGAUAUGAAAGAUAUUUUACAUUCAGGUAGUGAUAAAGGGGUAUCGGAACAUAUUGUACCAUCAUCAUCAUCAUCACCAUCACCACCACAGAGGGCAGGGAGCAGGAUUUAGAAAGUCAUUGGGCACCAGGUGUUAUGACUAAAGUGUUUUUCCAACGGCAAGGUGCAGAAAACGUGGAACUGGAGGAUACCUGCUGACUUCCACAUCAAGCCACGUGUCAAGAUCUUGCGUUUCAGAUUUCAGUGUAAGGACCAGUGGGCCUGGAGGAAGACCGAUGAGCCGGCCCGUUAAUAAUCGGAUCGGGCUGCCUGUUCGUCCGUUUUCACUAUUUAAGCACAAAAGAACGUCCCUUUCACAGCAUCUGCCGGGAAAUAUACUGCAGUUUUAUGUAAUAUCUUAAGACAAAAAAAAAAGAGGAAAAGUCUGGAUUGAUGUGCUAAACUGUAAAAAGCUGAAAACAAUUUGAAACUUACAGUGCCUGCAAGUACUGUAUUUUUAUAUAUUUAAGCAAUACUCAUUACCAGUGUGACAAUUUGUAAACUGCCAAAUGUCUAUCACUUGAAAGUAAUCUUUACAUUAAAGUUAUCACCCAUUUUGAACAUCAGCAUGUACAGCUACUGUUGAUGACCUCACAACGGAGUCUCCAUUCUGCUCCCGUUAUGCGCAUCAUGGUCAAUGCACCCAAAUAAUGUCAAGUUUCCAGUUUUUUAAUGCUUAAUGUUAUUCUCCAAAUAAUCUUUCUGUAACAAAAGAUGUUAGCUCAUGCUUGGUUGCUAACAUUCAUUUUCAAUACUUUUCCUGAAGUAAAAAACACAUUAUACCACCUUAAUUUGUUUUAACCAAUAAAUAGCAAACAGUUCUUUAUAAGCCCA
rnacentral:lncRNA from 1 species